UACGAGGGUGCAAGCGUUAAUCGGAAUUACUGGGCGUAAAGCGAGCGUAGGUGGCUUGAUAAGUCAGAUGUGAAAUCCCCGGGCUUAACCUGGGAACUGCAUCUGAUACUGUUGAGCUAGAGUAGGUGAGAGGGAAGUAGAAUUCCAGGUGUAGCGGUGAAAUGCGUAGAGAUCUGGAGGAAUACCGAUGGCGAAGGCAGCUUCCUGGCAUCAUACUGACACUGAGGCUCGAAAGCGUGGGUAGCAAACAGG
rnacentral:rRNA from 1 species